rnacentral:rRNA from 1 species
UACACUCCUGCGGGAGGCAGCAGUGGGGAAUAUUGGACAAUGGGCGCAAGCCUGAUCCAGCCAUGCCGCGUGAGUGAUGAAGGCCCUAGGGUUGUAAAGCUCUUUCACCGGUGAAGAUAAUGACGGUAACCGGAGAAGAAGCCCCGGCUAACUUCGUGCCAGCAGCCGCGGUAAUACGAAGGGGGCUAGCGUUGUUCGGAUUUACUGGGCGUAAAGCGCACGUAGGCGGACUAUUAAGUCAGGGGUGAAAUCCCGGGGCUCAACCCCGGAACUGCCUUUGAUACUGGUAGUCUUGAGUUCGAGAGAGGUGGGUGGAAUUCCGAGUGUAGAGGUGAAAUUCGUAGAUAUUCGGAGGAACACCAGUGGCGAAGGCGGCUCACUGGCUCGAUACUGACGCUGAGGUGCGAAAGCGUGGGGAGCAAACAGGAUUAGAAACCCUUGUAGUCCCAUGAU